GUGGGAGGACAUGGAACAACCUAGGGGGAGGCUUUGGAAUCUGGUGUUACUGGUUGAAAAGGAGUCUUACCACAGAGGUAACAGGUGGGGUAUGUUUAGGGCUUUCCUACAGUUCAUCACUGUCUCACUGGCUCCUUUCUGAAGGAUUUCAGAGGGUCAGAGCAUCUGCUUCCCUUCCUUCUAGGGACCGUGUCAUUCAUUUUGGGGGAUUUUAGCUUAGGGCAGUUACGCUCUUGGUUGAUGAGUAGGGAGAAAGUAAAAUUCCAAUUAAGUUGCUUAUCUCACCUCCCUUUGGAGUGAGUGAGAGACUGGCUGUUUGUGUAAUGAGACCUUUUUCUCUUUCACUUCCUUUUGUAGGACCUCGUGGGUCUCCCCCAGCAGGGCUCCUGCGCUGACGCCUGAGGAUACCUGGGAUUCCAUCUCCUGUAAUGCCUGCCUCUCCUUGUCCAGAAUUCCCAGCUGCCUGACCGCCUGUCCCCCACAUAGAUCAGAGUCCUACAGUGCCUCUGGUGCAGUUGCCCGGUCACCUCCUGUGACCCCGGCCCCGAGGAUGUGGCUGUGAUGUUGCUGGCCUGGGAGUCUCUGCCUGUGCGCUCCCUGCCAGCAGCAUCUACUCCGGCCCCAAGGGCUUUUCUGUCUCCAUUCUUCCUCCUCCGAUUGUGCAAGAGGAGCUCAUUGAAGCCAUUUAGCUGAAUGUAGAGAUUUUACCAUAAUUAAACAUGAUUAUGAGUUCUCUGUA